GAUCGGCAUCGCUGGGUCUUGGUUUUUUCAUCUCCACGGCCUCAUCUUCCCUUGUAGUCUACUCGCUUCUAGUCUCAGUUCUAUCGGUGGUCCUUUGAGUUUUCAGAUCUCAUCUCCGCCUUUGCGACAGCUUCAAUCACCUUCUCCGGCUCCGCAUCUGGUUCCUCCCCUCGGUGAAUCUAUCAAAUCGAGUUCCCACCCCCUUGUCCCUGUUCGCGAGAUCCAUCAGUGUCCCUCUAGGCCCGGUUUUUGUCCGUUUCACCGCCCCAUUAAGCUGUCAAAUUUAACAUCUUACCGCUCCAUGGAUCCAGAUCCUCUCACCAAGUGCUUUGCUUGGGUGCAGUUGGACGGAAGCUCUGCUUUGACGCUGGCACCGGUGAACCGUUUGACAAAGAAACCCUCCUUCUUGGUGACCUCUGCUUCUCUCUCGAUAACUCUUUGUCCCAGGUCAUUUUCUCCACUCUCAUUCUCAAACCCUGGAAGAUAGUUUACGGUGUUUAAACUAUAAGUCAUCCCUGACCUGGAACCGCCUUAGACCCACUAGCUUUAUUUUCAUAGCAAGCCCAAAUAAUUUAAUGUCUUUGUAUCCUGCUUGGUCAAGAUAUUUCGAUUGUGUUUGAAUCUUCUUUGUGUCAAGGUCAAUUAAAGAGCUUGGUAUGGAAGUUUGCAAUGCUGCUCGUUGAUAAUGUUUUUGCCUUGCCAAUCGGUUUACCGCUAUUGCUUGCUCUCCCUGAUCCUUUAGCAUACAUAUUACCAAUAGCUCCACUGCUUCAGUGUCAACUUGUAACUAGGUCUAGUCUGAAUCGCUCUUGUUGGGUCUGUAAUGGGGGCUUUAGAAAUCUGUUCGUUUACCACUCCCCAUUAACCCCAUAUGACGAAUUCAACCACCUCUUCCCCCUAGCUGAUACAUCUCUGAUCUUAAUGUGUCUUAGAUUGCUGAAAAUUCUAUUUACCUCAAUCCCUUUAGGCCUUCUUGUCUCUGUUUUGACUGGUGCAAAACACCACGGUAGCAUAGCAAAAGACCUUCUAGGAUGGCUAGAUAGAUACUUUUGUCAAGUUCAGAUGGAAACAUUGUAUCACGCCCCACUUGAACCCUCCAGCCCCUUGUCUAACCACUCGUCCAAAGCUCUGAAGCUCGGGUCAGAUCUCUUAUCUCAAUGUCAAGCUGACUACAAGCUUUAUGUGGAAGUCCUUAACCUCCAUGGCUUUUGGUUUCAUGUGAGGGAGGACCCACCUGCUUUGUUAUAGUUUUACAUUCAUUAUUUGCGUUUCCCGGUCGUAGCUUCAUCUAGAGCCUUGAGUUUUGCUCGUGAAAGUAUGAGGGACUUUGAUCCAAUGCUUGUGAACCUUCUCUUGAUGGCGAGGAACCCUACUUGUGUCCCAUCAGUGGAACACUUUUUCAAAAGCUCUUAUGCAUUUCUUGCGCGAGCCGUUUAUGACCAUUUUUUGGUCGAGGAUGUCGAGAAGCCUGUCUUCAUGUUCGAAUCCUCCUUGGCCCCAACAGUUUUCUCAAAGAUUGCAAGCCUUUCAAAGUUGAGCAUCACCUUGGAAAAUUCAUGGAGCCCUUAACUUUUCUUUUCCCGUUGUAUUGUUUUUGCUUCAAGUUGUAUGAACUGUCCUUUUUGAGGUUUUAAUUUGAAUGAAAAUCUUGUUUGACCAAAAAAAAAAAAAAAGA